ensembl:lncRNA
CUUCUUUCUCUUCUUUAUUCUCUUUUAUCUCUCUGUCUCUCUCUCUUUCUAUUUCUUUCUUUUUUAAAGACUUGGGAGUGUUUGGGGGUGUCCAUGUGAGAAAAGACCAGGAGAGGAGAGAAGGAGAGGAAAAGAUUUUAAUUUGAGAAACUUGGCCCUUGCUCUUUUAGCCGAUGAAGAAGAGAUUCUACGAAGCUGCGGUUUCAGGAGAGUCGGAUCUCUUCAAAAUGUUUCCUUUUCCAUUAAAGCAAUGGCUGAGAGUCGCUUGCAAUACAGAGGGAAGAUCCUGGACAUUUUCAGGUCUGCCCUCUCUGACUUUUACCCUAGCAUCACCUUCUCUUUGACCUCC